UUUAUUUAAUAUUUGAAUAAGGGUGGCAAGUCAGGAAAUCCACCUGAUGUGGCAAAAAUGUUUUAUGAAACUCGAAAGAAAGCUAAUGAAACACUAGAAAAUGGGGAUCAAGAUAAAUAUGAUGAAAUUGUUCAAGUCAAACAAGCAAACCCUUCACUUUCUGACAUUGAGAUAGUUGAGAAAAUGUGGGGGAAGCAAUCUCAUGGUCACAUUACUGUAUUUGGUGGCGGGACUACUUUGAAAGAUUUGAGAGGACCGCUCCCUAGUCGAUCUGAUCUGGAAGCACGGGUUAUAGAAGAAAAGAGAAAGAACCAGAUGCUUCAACAACGCUUAGAUGAGAAGGAGCAACAACAAUAAAGGAUGUCUGAGUUGGAGUCAUAAGUGAAAGCUAUGCAAGAACUUUUUUUUAUGCAAUCACCUUCAUUGACUCUUCAAACUCGAGAACAUGUGCAGGACUAGGCUAUCCAUGCAAGAUUAGGAGGGGGUAGCUCGAGUCUUCUUUUGACGAUGAUUAGAGGUGUCAGAGAUGUGUCUUCCCCAAACUUUUAUUUUAAUUUGUUUUAGAUAGUUUCAUGUAUUUUUCUUUGGAACAAUUAG